AAUGGACGCAAGUCUGACGCAGCAACGCCGCGUGGGUGAUGAAGCUCCUUGGAGUGUAAAACCCUGUCAGUGGGGAAGAAACGUACGGGUAGUAACUGCCCCGUGCCUGACGGUACCCACAGAGGAAGUCCCGGCUAACUCCGUGCCAGCAGCCGCGGUAAUACGGGGGGGACUAGCGUUGUUCGGAUUUACUGGGCGUAAAGGGCGCGUAGGCGGACCUUCAAGUCGGAUGUGAAAUCUGUCGGCUUAACUGACAGUCUGCACCCGAUACUGUUGGCCUUGAGUACGGGAGAGGAGAGCGGAAUUCCUGGUGUAGCGGUGAAAUGCGUAGAUAUCAGGAAGAACACCGGUUGCGAAGGCGGCUCUCUGGACCGAUACUGACGCUUAAGCGCGAAGGCUUGGGGAGCAAA
rnacentral:rRNA from 1 species